rnacentral:rRNA from 1 species
CCGGGGUUUCUUUACCUGCUACCGUCAUUAUCUUCACAGGCGAAAGUGCUUUACGACCCUAAGGCCUUCAUCACACACGCGGCAUGGCUAGAUCAGGGUUGCCCCCAUUGUCUAAGAUUCCCCA